CUUCAUCAAGGACAGUUUUUAUUCAUUUCACACAUGAGAUUUUGUUGACAGACUGUUUCUGUUACUUUGUGUUAUUAAUGUCCUAUGUGGUUUACAGCCCAUGCUAGCAUUGCAUUGUUUGUCCACGGCUGAGAGUAGGAUGUACAAUUUCCAAAAUACACUUAUCAGAAUGGGACAGUCUGCAAUAUCAUAACCACCAACUAACUAUUAAUUAUUGGACUCUGAGCAUUGUAUAAGAUGGAUGAAGCUACACCUACGCCUCUACAUUUCCUUGUGGAAAGGAACCAUCAGUUUACCUCAAACAGCAAACAUUGUGAAAGCAAGACACCGCAGGGAAUUGAACCCCAUCCUGACUAGGUCAGGAGUGCCACCACCGGAGUCUUUUGCUUUUUGUUGUUGCUGCUGCAAGAGAGGGCAAAAGCAAAACCUGGAGGAACAAGACCAGAGGUUUGUUCCUCCAGGAAAAGAAAACCCCUAACGCUUGGCUGUUUGAUUAUUUUAUCAGGGAUUUCUCUUGGUCGCGAUCCUGAAACUAGAAGACAAACAACUGGUUUCCCCGAUCCCCAGCAUCCCCCAACGACACAGUAUGUGUAUGACUUUUACAAUCCUUUUAUCCAUAUUUACAAAGACAAGAUGCCAGCAUCCCUGGUGAAAUUCAAAAGCCAUUUUCCUUUUGCAAUUCAGCAGGACUUGUGCUUCAAAAAGACUUUGCUCGCCAAGGUUACAGCUGUAACAGAAAGACACAGACAAUUUGAGCCUCCCCACCCCACCCCCUCCAACAUCAACCCACACUUUAGCUCAAAUAUCAAUAUGACAGAGUUUGCUGAUUUGGAUGUUUACCACAACGGUCACAACUAUUCAUAGUCAGUGAUGCGCAAGUCUUCGAAGUUUAAGAUUUUACCCCAAAGGGUGGCUGUGCCAACUGAUCCAUGACCCCGUGCAGAGCCCUACGCCGCCUGGCUCAGAAUCAAGUUAAGCUGAACAAUACAUCUGAAAGGAAGAGAAAAGAGUGUUGCCCCACCCCAAAAGCCCCAACCAAAUACUACAGCAAUGUUUGACGACAACUCAAUGAUUAUGUUGGGUUUCAAGAAUAAAAUGUUAUGCAGAGCUGAUGUGCAUGCAUGUAUGUUGAGUUACACAUUAAAGCCAUGAUGUGUUAAAGAAAAAUCAAGGGAACCGAAAUUACUUAACUCAGCACCCAUGAGACUGAAGUGAUGCAGUAUUAGCGAAACAAGCUUGCAGCUCUUGAUCUCAACGUGACUGGAUUCUCAGUGUUCCAUCACAGGUUAGGCCAUCCCGGAUGAAAAUUAAAGGUUACUUUAAAAAGGUAAUUUGACCUGAGAAACCAAAGGGAAAGAAAAAAGGCACACACACAAACACACAGAGAGCGGGGCUUCUGCGAAGGACGUCGGAAGGGGUUCAGAUUUAAGCUCAAGCGCACAGGGGGGUUGGUACUUCAUUCAGGAGCCACACUCAUAUUCGCCGACAGCGUCCACAGAUGGCUUUGCAUUCAGAGGCAGGUGAGAUCGGAGCGGACAGACGAAAAUAAUCUGAAACAAAGAGUGAUCUACACAACACACCCACCACACAAUACUCAAAGAUUCGAGUUCUACUCAUCUUAUGGUUGAAGAUGCAAAGCAAAAAGGGCCCCGUGGCCAAAGAGGAAAAUGCAAGUAAAGCAUUAACUCAUGAUUUGGGGUUAACAUAAAGCCAGUUCCAAGAUGUCAUUUUGUCAACUACAACAUUGUAGGAGUCAUUUUUGACAGUUUAAGCCAACAUCUUACUACAAAGUCCAGGUCAGAGGCCUUCCCUUGAACCGUCUUGCAGUCUAAUUUCUGUAAAGAGAAGUAUAGGGACAUGCCCAAACAAACACCAAGGCAAGAAGUAAACUACGGCAACACAUUUGCGCUGCUUUUUAAAUCCAAAUUAAGAGCUGCACCAUGCACAGCGUUCCUCAGCUGCUAUUCACUUUGGGAACAAUGCACAGUUGCGCAUUCAGCAAAUAAACUUAAUUCAACCUGCCACCUGCACAGUUGCGCAAGGGCUAGCAGCUGAGGGCUAAUUCUUCCAAUUGGUAAACGCAUCAAAAACAACCUGACUCCACAUGAUCAAACUGCAUGUUGGUCGAUUGAAGGGACAAGAUGAUUCCUGUGUUGUCCUAGGUAGACUGCAUUCUUCCUUUGGACUGUUCUGAAAGAUCAAAGAGGCAGACAAGAAACACCCCUAACCCCCCACAGAUCGUAGAACUGACUAUUGUUAUCCUUACCCAAAUGCUUUACAGCAGAUAAUGUCAGAAUCAAUGAAGUUCCAUCAAAUCCAGUUAGCACAAGACUCUUGUAAAGAAAGCACAGCAGUGCUACUUCUGCAAUCAAGUAUAGCAAGUUGCUGUCGUUUCGAAAAUGAGGGCAGUUUGGCCCAUUCAAGAUUGAGUGACUCAUCAAGGGUUGAGAAUAUUCUGCUUUCCAACAUCUAUAUUUGAUGGAUUCAACUUAUCUGCCUUCAAUUCUUCCACUUUGAAAAGGUUGUCAAUCGAGCCCAGGUCACAUCCGUGCUCUAUAAAGCUCCAAGCUUUAGUCACACCUGAAAAAGCACAAGAAAAGCUCCCCCACACAAGCCCAAGAAGAACAAAUGCAUACCAGAACUGUACUCAAUCACAACAAGCUAUGCAUUUAUUAUGCAAAAAUAAAAAUCCUUUACAGAUAGUUUACUCAUUGUAUUGUCAAUACAAGGCACAGUAACUAAUUGCAAAGGAAUUUCAAUGGAGGCAUUUUAGCUAGACAAUGAAUGUUAAAGAAGUGACACAUUUAGUGACCUUACGUGAUGCUCGAUGCGCAAGGAAACUUGAACAUACAAUGAGUUAGGAGAGUUCCUGAUGGCCUUGGGUAUUGGAAAGCGAACAGGACACGGCACACUGAAAAAAUGCAAAGGAAAAAGCCUCCCCACAAUACCCCCGAAGCAGUACAAACAACUACAGGACAAUAAUAGGUUUACAAUGUUGCCUAACAGAGGACACUGGAUAUGAUCACAUUUGUAUUAUAGUUAGCUAGGUUUCACUGGAUAUAUUCAAAUACCGCAAGUAUGAACGCGAGGGAUCCCAUCCUUAGGACUGAAGACAUGAACUUGACUGGUUUUCGAAGGGUGGGUCAUAAAAUUUUAUCUGCAAGAGUCACAAGUACACAGCCCACUCCAAACCCAACAACACUGCUUCAACCUUUAACAAUACAAAAGUUACAAUUAUGUCUAGUAAAGAGAUAUGUUACCACUCUCCCUUGGGAAACAGAGCUUCUUACUACAUCAGGAGACUAGAUUCGAGGUUGCUAUCCUGUGAGGCAAAGUGUCCGCUUGAAUCUUGUUGGGUGCACCUGGAUGUUGCUUAUUCAAGCCGUUUUGGGUUGGGUGACACGAAGCUGAAAAUUCUAGGAAGAGACUGAUUAACGUCCCAACCCCCCUCCCCAUUACCCAAAAUAUGUGCAAAAUUCCAUUUUAGCAUGGUCUUGAGUGAUGAAGUAAAAAAGAAAGUAUCUAAUGGUCUUUGUAAAUACAAAAUACCUUGCUAUAUCCCUUUAAACCGCAGUGGAUGCACAUGAUCCUGAUCCACAGUAAUACGAUAUUUAGAUGUGUACUGAGUGGCUAGCACAGGGGGACUCUUUCGGUGAUCAGCUCUAGAGGGCCAGGCCUGUAAAAAGAGAACUCGAAACACGUUUUAAAUGCCCCCUCCCCCUCCCCUGACCCACAAAUAUUCAGUUGCCCUGUUUCAAUGCACUUUUUAAAAAUACCAUCAGCAGUGACUUUAAGACUAGACAGCAUAGGGACUUACAAGUCAAUGUACCGGAUAGUUACACCCACAUGUACAUCACAUGCAUUAACUCACAGCUUUGAUUAAGAGGUAGAUGUAGCUGAUCUGUACCGCUGAAGAACAGCUGAAGCACCGAAGGGUUGCUGUAAACACGCAUCAAUCGGCUGCAUGGGAGACCAUCCACUCUCACACCCCAAUGCUGGGAACUUCUUUGGGAAGACCUAUCGAACAACAAGAGGAACGCCUCUCCCUUCGGCUGGGGAACUACUUCUUAUUGCAGGAGGGCAGAGAAGUCCGAACUGAUGUUCCUCUUGACAGCACACUACCAAGGCAUUCAUCACAGCAGAAACCACCACACUCAUGUCAGCGCACAAAAGGAGAGGGGACCACCGUACAAAACGAUUUACGCGGUUUGCCUGAAAAGAGGAAGAGAGAGCUGUGCAAGAAAUUUUGUUCUACAAAACAAUUUCAGGAAAGAGCUUGAAUAUUCAAAUACCUAUUAUGUUACAGAGGUACCUCUACCCAAUAUACAAACCACCGCCUGCUUUAACUUGCGGAGCUAGAAGACACUUGUGCGCCCAUUCCCCACCCGCUCAUGACUGGCUGGCUGGCUUGCUCUGGAACUGCUGCCACGACUGAAGGUCGGCCUCUAUGUGCUGCUACCCUGCUCUGCGCCUCUGGCUCCCUCUGGUGUACACUCGACGACACGACAGCUGCUGCUCUCUGCUCUGUUGGGCUGACUCUGCUUUUCCCCUCCACGCCUACUGGUCCUGUCCUGCCUGGCUCCACUCUGGUUCUCCCACGCCCUCUGGUCCUGUCCUGCCUGGUUCUUUCUGGAUCUCCCAAGCCCUCUGGUCCUGUCCUGCCUGGCUCCACACUGGUGCUCCCUGCGUUCCUCGGCCCCGCUCCACGCUGGUCCCGCGAUCUUCAUUGUAUAACUAAGUCCAUUCUUCCCCUUGACAACUCAGUCCAUUUAACCCCCCAGAAAAAAAAAAUCUUCCAUCUUCUCUAAGCGAUAAAAAAGUGACAAAUUAAAAAUAAAAAUAAAAAAAACGAAAAACUUUUUGGCUCUAGAUUCCUCAAGCUACAGCUAGAGCUGCAAUUCAAUAAGCUGAUUUUUUUUUUUUUUUUAAAAAGGCUGAUGUUGUACUGCUUGCUUUCGGUAAAAAUUAGAUGAAUCAGAGAAUCAAAAAAAUUGACUCAAGUACAACUUAAUAGAAAAAAAUUAAAUUCAUUGGGAUCUAAGCUAUAUGCCAACAAAGUAGCACACGUUUAAUAAGCCUGAGGUCAAAGACCUUGAACUGAUUGUCUUGAUAGUUUCUUUGGUUUGACAACACAGCCUAAAUUUUCAUCUUGGACACAAUGUCCUUUUUUUUUUUUUUUAAAUAAAUGACACAUCUAAUACAACUUGCCUGACUGACAUUUAAGCUGUAUAAUCUAUGAAUCGUACUAGGUACGCCUUGAUAAUUGCCCAUGAAAGGGCAGAUUUAGAUUGAAAAAAAAAAAAAAUCUAUGACGGCAGAUCCCUCUCGCCACCUACUGGUGUUCUUGUCAAGACCAUAAAAUGGUUUAGAGAGUGCUCCUGAGAACGUUUGUCAUAUUCACAGCUACUCUGCUUAACUUUUCUGCCUUUUUCUUGAAUAAGCUCACUUUGUACCAUCUUUACAUUCAGCAAUUGCCAUUGGUUUGAUAGAUUAUCUGACUGUCGCUUAUAUUAAGGCUUAACAAAAGUCUGCAUUUGUUCUGCUCUUUACAUUAAUGCCAUUUUAAAGCUUGCUGCAAGCCUGAUUUACACUGACUUCUUAUUUUAAUAAUCAUUGGACUGCGACUUUGCAAAUAAAUAGAAAUUGGUCUUUUUUUUUUUUUUUUUUUAAAGUGAUCAGUUUUCCUUUUUUUUUUUUAAGAAGUGAUCAGCUUUCCUUUUUUUUUUAAAGUGAUCAGCUUUCCUUUUUUUUUUUUAAAGAAAUGAUCUUUUUUUUUUUAAAGAAGUGAUCAGCUUUCCUUUUUUUUUUUUUAAAGAAGUGAUCAGUUUUUUUUUUUUUUUUUUUAAGAAGUGAUCAGUUUUUUUUUUUUGGAAGUGAUCAGUUUUCCUUUUUUUCACAAGUCGUCAGUUAUCCUUUUUUUUCACAAGUCGUCAGUUUUCCUUUUUUUUUUUUUUUUUUUUUUUUUUUAAGAGGUUGUCGCUUACUUUUUUUUUGUUUAAGAGGUUUAGAGAACUUUAUGCAAACCUCAUCCCUCUGUGAUUAGAUUCUCUAGCCUGUUUGUUUUUUAAGUGAUAUCAAGAAUCACGUAGAUAGAAGUAUUUUCUAUUCUUUGUCAGCCUGACUUUUCUUCACCUUAGUUCAGAAACGUUUUGCUUAGCUUGGCUCUUGGCUUUCCUGCUUCGCUAUUCAUAACUUAUCCAGAACACUAAGCGUGGCUCACUGAUCUAAAGUAGUCAGCGUAUCAGCCGGACUCUAAAGUAGUCAGCGUAUCAGCCGGACUCUAAAGUAGUCAGCGUAUCAGCCGGACUCUAAAGUAGUCAGCGUAUCAGCCGGACUCUGUUAAUCCUUUCAUUCGUUAGAGAAUACACCGUGAAAGUUCUGUUCACUCAUUUAAGUCUUCUGCACUGAUAAAUAUAAAUUGCAUACUGGGAGUUGCUAAGUGUAGCCCUAGAUAUGGCCGCUCCCUUGCCAAAUUUAACAAUCUAAGCCACGCCCUCUUUUCAAAUAGACCAAUGGUUCUUCGCAAACAGUCACGUCACGGAUCCCUUCUUUAGCCAACUGCUAUAUCGACGAUGGAAACAACAUGUCCCUAAACAGUUUUCUGCUAUCAAAAACGAUAACCAAAUAUAAAAAUACAUGACCAAGGUAUUUAGAUUGCGACCAAGUUAAUAAGAUUAACGUUUUUUUUUUUCGAACUGCCAAUGUAGCAGGCCUAAAAUUGGCUAACAGGCCCUGCCAAUAGCUUCAUGGCUAUCAUAUGGUCGUCAUGUCGACGUUUUGAGAUCUAGUCCUCUGGCAUUUGCCUAAUAAAGUUGAAAAUAAAAAUAAAAAUCAAGUACGAGUGUCGCUCAUAGACACUAAAGACGCGUUACGCCACGUAUUGCGAUGUUUGUCGAAGCCUCUCAGACUUGAGACCGACGUUCAAUGUCCCAGGUUUAAACAUACGACAACAAAAAAAGAGAUCGAGCUAGAUACAGUUGAUACGACACUGAAGAUUGACUGUCAAGAAUACGAAGGUUUAAGAGAAAAUAAAUUGGAUUGGCUUCACCUGAGAACGACGGAACGGACGAAAUCGCGCUUGUCCUGUGUGAAGGCAAAUGGCGUCGCUGGAGGUAUU